rnacentral:rRNA from 1 species
AGGAAAAGAAACUAACAAGGAUUCCCCCAGUAACGGCGAGUGAAGCGGGAAGAGCUCACGUUGUGAAUCUGGCCCUCGGGCCCGAAUUGUACACUGGAGAGGCGUGGCCAGCCGCUGUCCGCGGCCAAGUCUGAUUGGAAAUGAGCAUCAAGGAGGGUGACAAUCCCGUCCAUGCCGCGGUACCGAUCAGCGCGCGUCCGGCCCGCUUUCGACGAGUCGAGUUGCUUGGGAUUGCAGCUCAAAGAGGGUGGUAAACUCCAUCCAAAGCUAAACACGGGGGGGAGACCGAUAGCGAACAAGUACCGUGAGGGAAAGAUGCAAAGAACUUUGAAAAGAGAGUUAAAGAGUGCCUGAAAUUGCUGGAAGGGAAGCGAAGGAAAGAGGUGUGCGGUUGCCCGGGCGCCAACCCCUACCUGUUCGCAGGUGGGGGUAGGCCGCCCGGCCGCGGUCAGGGGUAGCGCCGGGCUCGGGGGAAGAGCCGUCGGGGAUCGGUAGGCGAGCCGCUUCGGUGGUGCGCUGUCAGGCCCCGGUGGUUGUUGCCCUGAGCCCGGCCCCCGUCUGGCGGUCGCGGCUUUUCUUCAC